GACGAACGCUGUCGGCGUGCUUAACACAUGCAAGUCGAACGGAAAGGCCCUGCUUUUGUGGGGUGCUCGAGUGGCGAACGGGUGAGUAACACGUGAGUAACCUGCCCUUGACUUUGGGAUAACUUCAGGAAACUGGGGCUAAUACCGGAUAGGAGCUCCUGCUGCAUGGUGGGGGUUGGAAAGUUUCGGCGGUUGGGGAUGGACUCGCGGCUUAUCAGCUUGUUGGUGGGGUAGUGGCUUACCAAGGCUUUGACGGGUAGCCGGCCUGAGAGGGUGACCGGCCACAUUGGGACUGAGAUACGGCCCAGACUCCUACGGGAGGCAGCAGUGGGGAAUAUUGCACAAUGGGCGGAAGCCUGAUGCAGCAACGCCGCGUGCGGGAUGACGGCCUUCGGGUUGUAAACCGCUUUCGCCCGUGACGAAGCGUGAGUGACGGUAAUGGGUAAAGAAGCACCGGCUAACUACGUGCCAGCAGCCGCGGUGAUACGUAGGGUGCGAGCGUUGUCCGGAUUUAUUGGGCGUAAAGGGCUCGUAGGUGGUUGAUCGCGUCGGAAGUGUAAUCUUGGGGCUUAACCCUGAGCGUGCUUUCGAUACGGGUUGACUUGAGGAAGGUAGGGGAGAAUGGAAUUCCUGGUGGAGCGGUGGAAUGCGCAGAUAUCAGGAGGAACACCAGUGGCGAAGGCGGUUCUCUGGGCCUUUCCUGACGCUGAGGAGCGAAAGCGUGGGGAGCGAACAGGCUUAGAUACCCUGGUAGUCCACGCUGUAAACGGUGGGUACUAGGUGUGGGGUCCAUUCCACGGGUUCCGUGCCGUAGCUAACGCUUUAAGUACCCCGCCUGGGGAGUACGGCCGCAAGGCUAAAACUCAAAGGAAUUGACGGGGCCCCGCACAAGCGGCGGAGCAUGCGGAUUAAUUCGAUGCAACGCGUAGAACCUUACCUGGGUUUGACAUGGAUCGGGAGUGCUCAGAGAUGGGUGUGCCUCUUUUGGGGUCGGUUCACAGGUGGUGCAUGGCUGUCGUCAGCUCGUGUCGUGAGAUGUUGGGUUAAGUCCCGCAACGAGCGCAACCCUUGUUCACUGUUGCCAGCACGUUAUGGUGGGGACUCAGUGGAGACCGCCGGGGUCAACUCGGAGGAAGGUGGGGAUGACGUCAAGUCAUCAUGCCCCUUAUGUCCAGGGCUUCACGCAUGCUACAGUGGCUGGUACAGAGAGUGGCGAGCCUGUGAGGGUGAGCGAAUCUCGGAAAGCCGGUCUCAGUUCGGAUUGGGGUCUGCAACUCGACCUCAUGAAGUCGGAGUCGCUAGUAAUCGCAGAUCAGCAACGCUGCGGUGAAUACGUUCCCGGG
rnacentral:rRNA from 1 species